UGUUGGGUAGGGGAGCGUUCUGUAAGCCUGUGAAGGUGGCCUGUGAGGGUUGCUGGAGGUAUCAGAAGUGCGAAUGCUGACAUAAGUAACGAUAAAGCGGGUGAAAAGCCCGCUCGCCGGAAGACCAAGGGUUCCUGUCCAACGUUAAUCGGGGCAGGGUGAGUCGACCCCUAAGGCGAGGCCGAAAGGCGUAGUCGAUGGGAAACGGGUUAAUAUUCCCGUACUUGGUGUUACUGCGAAGGGGGGACGGAGAAGGCUAUGUUGGCCGGGCGACGGUUGUCCCGGUUUAAGCGUGUAGGUGUGUGUUCCAGGUAAAUCCGGUUCACUUUAACACUGAGGCGUGAUGACGAGGCACUACGGUGCUGAAGCAACAAAUGCCCUGCUUCCAGGAAAAGCCUCUAAGCAUCAGGUAACAUCAAAUCGUACCCCAAACCGACACAGGUGGUCAGGUAGAGAAUACCAAGGCGCUUGAGAGAACUCGGGUGAAGGAACUAGGCAAAAUGGUGCCGUAACUUCGGGAGAAGGCACGCUGACACGUAGGUGAAGUGAUUUACUCACGGAGCUGAAGUCAGUCGAAGAUACCAGCUGGCUGCAACUGU
rnacentral:rRNA from 1 species